AAAACGUGGAGAUGUUGGGAACACUAGCAGCAGAGCUUUUACUUUUUCUUGUUACACUUAGAGAAAUUUAGAGUUAGGCCUUUUUUGUCAAAUUAUUCAUGGGUAAAUCAAGUAACAGCUGCAAGUAAAGACGAUAGAGCUGGAAUCUUGGAUAAAAGCCACGUUUUGCCUACUCUUCUUUUCUCUGUCCAAGAGCAAAUUCUGCUCACCCAAAACCAGCAAGAGAGACAACUCUCCAGAUAUUUUUAGCCAAAACAAUGGUGCUGCUGAGCUCUGCAACAACCAGAUGGGUCUUUUUGUUUAUGCUUUUUCUUUCUCAUUUCGCUGGCACCAGAGCCCUUGUUGAAGAUGUGUGCGUUCCGUAAACUCUGUAAAAUGGUGAGGUUUUUCGUAUUACUAAUUUCUAGUUGACUCUGCUCAUAAGCCACGGUAAUUCUCAGCUCUCGUCUCGAUGCCCAGUUUACUUCUUGCUUCAAGAACAUCAACAAAUAUUAGGCCUUCGUAAUAGGGCCCCGCUUCCCAACAAAAUUUUUAACCUUUUCUAUGUGUAAUGUAAUGAGCAUUAUUUAUUGAUUACUGUGCUUAAAUAUUUGAAAC